rnacentral:rRNA from 1 species
UGGGGAAUAUUGCACAAUGGGCGCAAGCCUGAUGCAGCCAUGCCGCGUGUGUGAAGAAGGCCUUCGGGUUGUAAAGCACUUUCAGCGAGGAGGAAGGUGGUGGACUUAAUACGUUCAUCAAUUGACGUUACUCGCAGAAGAAGCACCGGCUAACUCCGUGCCAGCAGCCGCGGUAAUACGGAGGGUGCAAGCGUUAAUCGGAAUUACUGGGCGUAAAGCGCACGCAGGCGGUUUGUUAAGUCAGAUGUGAAAUCCCCGGGCUCAACCUGGGAACUGCAUUUGAAACUGGCAAGCUAGAGUCUCGUAGAGGGGGGUAGAAUUCCAGGUGUAGCGGUGAAAUGCGUAGAGAUCUGGAGGAAUACCGGUGGCGAAGGCGGCCCCCCUGGACGAAGACUGACGCUCAGGUGCGAAAGCGUGGGGAGCAAACAGAUUAGAUACCCUGGUAGUCCACGCUGU